rnacentral:rRNA from 1 species
CCUACGGGAGGCAGCAGUAGGGAAUCUUCCACAAUGGGCGCAAGCCUGAUGGAGCAACGCCGCGUGGGUGAAGAAGGUCUUCGGAGCGUAAAACCCUGUUGUUAGAGAAGAAAGUGCGUGAGAGUAACUGUUCACGUUUCGACGGUAUCUAACCAGAAAGCCACGGCUAACUACGGGCCAGCAGCCGCGGUAAUACGUAGGUGGCAAACGUUAUCCGGAUUUAUUGGGCGUAAAGGGAACGCAGGCGGUUUGUUAAGUCUGAUGUGAAGGUCUUCGGCUUAACCGGAGUAGUGCAUUGGAUACUGGCAGUCUUGAGUGCAGAAGAGGAGAGUGGAAUUCGAUGUGUAGCGGUGAAAUGCGUAGAUAUAUGGAAGAACACCAGUGGCGAAGGCGGCUCUCUGGUCUGUAACUGACGCUGAGGUUCGAAAGCGUGGGUAGCAAACAGGAUUAGAUACCCUAGUAGUC